ACAGGUGCUGCGUGGCUGUCGUCAGCUCGUGUCGUGAGAUGUUGGGUUAAGUCCCGUAACGAGCGCAACCCUUGUCCUUAUUUGCCAUCAUUAAGUUGGGCACUCUAGGGAGACUGCCGGUGACAAACCGGAGGAAGGUGGGGACGACGUCAAGUCAUCAUGGCCCUUACGACCAGGGCUACACACGUGCUACAAUGGGCUGUACAAAGGGUUGCGAUCUCGCGAGAGUCAGCUAAUCCCAUAAAACAGUUCGUAGUCCGGAUCGCAGUCUGCAACUCGACUGCGUGAAGUCGGAAUCGCUAGUAAUCGUAGAUCAGAAUGCUACGGUGAAUACGUUCCCGGGCCUUGUACACACCGCCCGUCACACCAUGGGAGUGGGUUGCA
rnacentral:rRNA from 1 species